UAGACCAUUGGUGAGAUUGGGGGAUGUCUGAAUCAAGAAUUUUGAUUAAACCCUAUCUGCAACCCUGAGGUCCUU
ensembl:snoRNA SNORD113-8 small nucleolar RNA SNORD113/SNORD114 family